rnacentral:rRNA from 1 species
CCUACGGGAGGCAGCAGUGAGGAAUAUUGGUCAAUGGGCGGAAGCCUGAACCAGCCAAGUCGCGUGCAGGAUGACGGCCCUACGGGUUGUAAACUGCUUUUAUACGGGAAUAACGCGCCUUACGUGUAGGGCUUUGCAUGUACCGUAUGAAUAAGGACCGGCGAAUUCCGUGCCAGCCGCCGCGGUAAUACGGAAGGUCCGGGCGGUAUCCGGAUUUAUUGGGUUUAAAGGGAGCGUAGGCCGCAUGUCAAGGUUGCUGUGAAAUGUCCGGGCUCAACCCGGGCCUUGCAGCGCGAACUGGCGGGCUUGAGUGCGCGGAAAGCAGGCGGAAUGCGUCGUGUAGCGGUGAAAUGCUUAGAUAUGACGAAGAACCCCGAUUGCGAAGGCAGCUUGCUGCAGCGGAACUGACGCUGAGGCACGAAAGCGCGGGUAUCGAACAGGAUUAGAUACCCCAGUAGUC